CCUACGAGUACAAGGCCCACUCAUACACGCUCAAUUAUUAUGGUACGCUUCCGUAAUUAUAUGGUUGCGGGUGCGAUGCCAGGAAGAGAUGGAAUGGUGGAAAAGAAAGAGAUGAGAAUCAGAAAGAAAGAGAUGAAUACAAAGGGGAUGCAAAGCAUCGUAAGAAUUGUACGGUAUACCGUACUAUAAAUCGAUUUCGCACAUCGCGUGACACCACCCCGUUAAAAAUUUAUUCAUCGACGAUAUUUGGGAGAUCAGGUCUCCAAAGUCACCCCUUGAUCCAAACUUUUGGAGCUCGUCUUUUUGUCGAUAUAGACAGACAUAUUGUUCUCAGAAAUCAUAGCCGAUUGGUUUUGCGACCAAUGAAACAAUAAUGUUCGUUUUCUCACGUUGAUUUUGCGGAGCUGUAGGUGAAAAUUGAACGGUUUGUAUGGAUUGGUACAUCGAUAGAAUUGAAAAUUCAGUUGAAAUUUCAACCAACGAUGGUUCGAGAUUGAAGAAAGUCUUUUGGGUCAAAGUUUACCUAGCGAGUUCGCGUGCCAGGGUCGAAGAGGUCGUGACCCCGAGGGUAGUGGGAAGGCCUAAGAGCGCGGGAAACUACGUUUGGAAUUCGAUAAGUAGUGCUUUUCUUUUCUUUUUGUACAAUCGAAAUUUUGAAGUAGGUAUCCUACAGAUGUACCUACGAGUAGAUAUAGAAUAUGUACGAUCUUUCUCUCGUUCGAUAACUUUCGAAGUUCUGAGGUCUGGUAAAAGGUCGAGUGAUGCUACUACAAAUCGAUGGAUCUUCCCUUCGAUUUAACGUAAUCGAGUUAAAAGCUAUUCGCAUAGAAUUCAAGAAGUGAUACGCGUAAGUUUUACGGAAGAUUUUUGCAAAGAUGCGCCGAGCUGCCUGCAAAAACGAUUUCGAUCGCGUACAUUACUGCGUCAACGUACUUUACGAUAAGAAUGACCUCUGCAAGACACUCGUCGUUGCAACCGCCGAAUCUUCUCUUCCAACUCUUCAAAUUUCCUGCUAUGAAAUUGAUUUUCUCUUAUCUUCAAUGCGCUACAAGCCACCCGGUCUGAUAAGUUAGCCUUCUUCAUAUUCGUUUGAAGGCAUAAAUCAACGUAAGCUUGACCACGUGACACUCGGAAUUGAAUUAAAUUGAUAAUAUCAUUCAUCCUGCCGUACUGCACUCGCGUAUACAAUAUUAUGCAUCCGUGUAUAAUUUAUGCAGAAAAUAUGCAAAUUCAACAUCCGUUAUAUACGCUACAUACUGUAUGAAUAUGUUUCACAUUAUCAUUCUAAUUUAAACAUUUUAUACGCGUAACCUGUAAAAAAAAAAAAAAAACGAAAAUUUCACGAUAUAAAUUUUCUGGUCAUCCGCAGUACGUGCCUAUGUAGCGGGUCGUGCGUUUUUAAUUAGGCUAUUUUACGACUGAGAGAAUAAAAUUUUCACCUCUGAUCUGGUUCCAAGUAUAAAUAACACGAUCGUACUUUACAAAGGCAGAAGGUGAUUCCAUUGGAAGUUUGUUUCAAAUAAAAUUAGAAAUGAAAUAAUAAAAAAAAUGUAGAGGCGUAUUCUACACACUUGAAUACCCGUAAUUUGUCGACUUGGAUCCCCGAGAGUUCGUUUUAACGAUGCGAUGAAGUUAAUUUUGAACGACCUUUGACCUUGUUUAUUAUACGUAUACAGUCGGUGCAAUGGUAUUUAACGAGAUAUCGAGAACGCCCGAAUCGUAGAGGACAAGAAUUUCUUCGACACCUAGGCAAUCUUGUGUACAAAUAUAUUAUACGCGUGAGUAUGUAUAUACAUAUAUUUUGUACACAACUAGUUUAAGGAUUGAAAAGAACACGUCCAACGUUCCCGUCUGUAAUAGAAAGAGAAAAAAGGAAAAAGGGAAUAAGAUAGAAAAAAAAUGGGGAGUAAAGCAGUUUAGGAGUCUGGAACGGUCCGUGGAUAGAUAAUAGUUUGGAGUUUGACAUCCAAUGUAGAUGGACCAACGAUACUAACAAAGUUAGAGCCUGCGUGGCUACCAUUAGAGUUUAUCAACGAUUCAAUCUCACCCGUUAUACUUAUCUGUAUUUCAGUCACAAUAUAAUAUCCCGUCGCGUCGGUGGUUCGCCUCGCCUCAGAAAACAGAAAAAAAAAAAAAAAAAAAAAGAAAAAUAAAGAAAAAUAAAGAAAAUCUACGUUUAUUUAAUACCUGUACUAUUUUUAUCUCUCAGUUAUACGGUAUACUUAUUCUUCGAUAGUUACGUCGCAGGUAUUUAUACUUUAAUAAAAUGAAUGGUACUUUAAAUGUAACGAGAUCAUGGUUCAGAUUCCGUGAGGCGGAAGACUUGUGUUUCUUUUUUUUUUUUUUCAUUUUUAUUUUAAAAAAGUUUGUUCCUCGAGCCUCGAACGUCUAGGGAAAAAAAUGACGUGAGAAGAGUUUCAAAGAAAAAAUAACAAUUUAUCAAUCGAAGCAAAUGAUCCUCGAGACUUUGAGAUUGCAGAGCUGGGGAGGGGAGAUGUGAAAGUUUGGAAUUAUUUCCAUUUUUAAAACGUACUUUUUUAUUGAAAUUUGCAUUGCUUUUUUUACCACCCGCGAUAUUUUAAUUCCGAAUAUUCUAAUUUAUCAUGCUGAUCGUUAAUAUGACAAAUCAAUUUAAAACGUAUACGCUUUCCGGUUCGCCGUACAGAUAUACCAUGUAGUUUCGGAUCGAGAACCGAAAAGGUGAUUAAUGAUAAGAAAGGAGACGACGAUCAUUUUUUGUUUAUUUAUACCGAUUGGUCGAGAGAGCGCUAAUUGCUGUAAAAUAAUUAGCACUGCGGUAUAUAUAUAUAUAUAUAUGUAUACGUCGCGAGUACGUGCUGAUGAGUUAAGGAGCUUUGAUUAACGAUAAAAUUUACAUAACCCAUGCAGCGAUGAGAUAAUUAUUUUGAAAGCUAAUUAUUAGUAACCUUUUUUUUUUAAUAAAUUUUUUAUCCGUACAUGACACGCGAUCAUGUAAUAAACAACGCGAAAUUGUCGUCACCCUUUAUUAAGGUGAACUUAAAAAGUUCAUACAAUCUCUUUCGACUUUACACACAGCCGCAAAAUGAACUGAUUGAAUUAAAGGAGAGAGAAAAAUAAUCGAAUUCGUUCCUUCGAUUAAUAAAUUCGAAUGGAAAUCAAUGCGACGGAUAAUACCGCGAUCAAUCCUGACUAAUUAACGCCUUUCCUUUCGAUGAAAAAGGAGAAGAAGAAACAAAUAACGUGUAUAAGAAAUUUUAAUAGUUCGGUAUAUCGUGGAAUAAGGUAUUUAAAGUGCUACCUAACGAAGUGUAUAAUUGCCGCAGUUUGAUAAACGAAAAUGGUGGCCAUAAAGAUUAUUUCCAAAAAUUUUCUUAGAGUAGCUGCGUUACACCGUUGAUUACACGGAGAUUGUGUACAGUCGUGACGUUAAUGGGAAAUAGCUAUUCAAUCUCCCGAUUUAAUCCAAACUAGAAACUAUUCCAAUACUAUAAGCUGUUUACCCUUAUCUCUAUCCACGAAUUACAAAAACCCCGAAAUUAAAUGAUACGAUCAUCAAACGCUGUACUACGAGUAUUUUAUUGUCCCCGCGUACAAUCUUAACGAUAAUCUUAAUUCGAAUGUGAUGUCUUCAUGCGCAACAAAAUCGAUGAAAAUAUUUCGAAUAUUAUUACAAGCUAGAAGUAGGUUUCUGUGUGCCAUUUUUGUUCAUUUUUUCUUUGCUCUUUUUUCAUUCCAACUUCCCGCGUAUCGAUUUUAAGGUGCAGUCAUCACGUGUUCUGUACCUAUUAAAUGUAAUUACUACUCCAGUGUUAAUUAACAAUGAAAAUUAGGAGUGCCGAUAAAUUUUUUAUUCUUCAAUUCGGGUCGUGUCGAAAAGAUUUUCGUGCGAAAAAAAAUUCUUCAAACAAUAGAUUUGAGUUUUGUAAUUUUUUUCUCCCGACGAAAUUGAUUUUCCUAAUCGAUACACAUCACUCAAGGUUUUUACGUUAAUUGAAAAAAAAAAAGGAAGAAAAAAAGACCGCGCUAUUCCGCCAUUUUAAUGAUAUUUUACUAAUUCGUUUCUUUAAUUAUUCAUUGAAUAAAGAGCACGCGCAGUCGUAGGUAUUACCAGUGGACAUAUUUACCUUAUCUAAUAGGAUGAUCUAUUCGCGUGCAAUUCAACGUAACGGAUCCUCCAUCAGUUUUAUUUUACGCAUCAUCGGGAGAGGAGAAAAAAAAUAAAUAUUCAAAUCAAAUAAAGAAUUAAUCGCGAUGAGCGUUAGGGAGAAACCGAUGCAUAUUCUUUGCUCUUUUAUCGGAGUCGCGCCGUACACGUUUGAUCCAAAAUCUUCGAAUUUGAAAUUCAAGACGUCUAUAUGCGCGUCGAUUUACUCUUCGUUAAUUAUUAUUGUUCUACUCGCAAUCGCUGUUGUUAAUUAUCAAACAAUGGAGGUUAAUUUGAGAUCUGAAAGUCGUGUUACUCUGGGUGCUCAGUGGCUUCAGUUUUACACCAACAAUGGAUUUUCCGUUAUAAUCGUUAUCGUUAAUACCCUACAGCAAUGGAAAAUCGUUAAGGUGUUCAACGAGAUUUUCAAAACCGAAUAUCGUCUGCAAAAUCUACCGGAUGACAAAGAAUCAUGCAAAGAAAUUUUUUGCGGCACACUUGCGAUGGUCAUCGCCGUAUUUCUGCACUUACUGAUAACGCUCACCUCUUAUUUUGACAAUCAAAAAAGAAUUGACUAUUAUUGGUUCGCCUACGGUAUUCUGUUUCUUCUGAACUCUAUGAUCGUCCUUCAAUUUCUAUUCGUUGUCGUGAAAGUCGGGAUUAAAUUUCAAAACUUGAGCAGCAGACUCCUCGAUUGUACGCAGAGCGAGCAGCCUCCGUUCACGCUGAAAUCGAAGCAGACCAACGAAUCGUCGCUACAUUUGACCGUGGAAAAAAUUGCCGAAGCACAUUUAAAUCUGAUAAACUCAACGGAGCUUUUGAUAUCCGCAUUUUCGUAUCAGCUGUUAAUUUGCUUUAUAACUGGACUGAUCAUAUCGGUUACCGGUUCUUAUUUGAUAUGCAAGAGGAUAAUUCAGUACUCCUUCGAACUUUCCGACCUACACAAUUUCCAAGGAGAACUCGAACGGGACUACGACUGGUGGGCUUUAUCGUGUUAUCCGUUGGUGCAUUCCAUUCUUCUCGGAAUAAUAAUCGCAGUUUGUCAUUGGACAGUUUCUCAGUCGAAAUUGCUCGACGACGUCGCGCCUCGCGUUCAAAGAUCUUCACACCUGUUGGAAAAAUCAAGCAUAAACGCCUUGUGCCAACAACUUCUACUACGACAACUGUCUUUCGGCGUUCUUCAACUUUUUACCAUAAAUCCAUCGAUGGUUUUUUCGAUAAUAAGCACGGUGCUUACCUACCUGAUCAUACUUCUGCAGUUCGAACUUAGCCAAGUUUCAGAAGUUACUGCUGCGAGGGACGUUUUACAGAGCUCUGCGAUAGAUUUUUGGAACUAUACGAUAGCUUACAAUUCAACGAUAUAUGACUACAACGUUUCAUCGAUUUACGCAUCUCCUGACGACGACGUCUGAAGAGUUUCAAUAUUUUUUUAUAAUUUUCAUUCAUACGCGGCACAUCGCUCCGCGUCGCGUCCUUCUCGUUUUCUCGUUUUCUUAUCCGUUGCAUAAUUUAUUCCUUGUUCUACUCCCCGAGAAUAAUUUCAAGAAUCAUAUUCAUCCCGUUCCCGCGCACAAGAGAUCCGAAGAACGAACGCCUUCCCCGGUGAUCUAUUGCAUAAUUGGAUGUUCCGAGGUAUGCGCGCGUACGGUAAAAUCUUCCCUUUUCAUUUCUACUGCACUGCGGACCUUACGCUUCUUACUUUUCAUCUUCAUCUUCUUCUUCUUCUCUUUUUUAUCGUUCUUUCUACUCUCCAUAAACCCCUCGACGACGUCAGCACAGAAAUAUCUCAAAUAAGAAGCGGCUGCGGAAAGGCUAUGAAAAGUGAAGGAAAAAAAAAAACUAAACCGAUCAAACUCCAAUGCGUCCGGAAACGAUGUAACGAUACGAUGGAUAAUUUUUUCCUACGAAUUCGCAAUAAAAUAGUGCAGCUGGAUUAUGGAAAAGAAAAAAAGAGAAUAAUUUAUGUGCGCAUAGGUGUAUACACGUGUAAUGGUGAACGUUUAGUGAUGUAAGUAAUUUAUAGCGUUGCCGCCCACGACAAUUUAUUAUAUCUGGUGUCAGAGCGAGUUGGUAAGGAAAUCAAGCUGACGUGAAAACGAUUAUUUAAAAUACAUAGUCGUUCGGCAAGACUUGCGUGAAUCGGCCGUUUGACCCUCGCCGACCUCGGAAGAGGAACGAGGACCGUUACUGCUUCAAAACCCGCAUCGAACGACCAGAUAUUCCCCAUACCAACCUAUACCUACUUACUUACUUACUCACUUACUUACUUCUUACUCCAGGUGGACCAAAAUUAUCGCAGGUAUAACCCGGGCUAAGGGAAUACACUCCGCACCCUAUCUUCAAUCUGGCAAUUACUUCUCAACCGUGGAACACCAAUCUCAAUCGAUAUCGUAUCCUGCAGAGGAAAUUUCGAUCCGACAACCAAUCUCCCAUACUUUUCUCCUUGCUUUUUUUUUGUUGUUUUUUUGUUUUUUUUUAUUUUAUUUUUUAUUUUUUUCUCUCAUCGAUCCCGCCGAUAUCUGCGGUCGACCGAUUUACGCGAAAAUCUGGAGUCUCGAAUUGAAUAAAAUUCGGCGAUUGAUUCGGACGUAUUUUUGAUCCUGCGCUAUAUACCCGCAACACAUCGUAGUCGGGGUACCGAUAAUAACCGUCGUGACAUUCGCGACGUCAUACCUCGAAAUAAACAUGUACCAAAUUUAUAGCGACAUGACGUACAGCGGUGGACGAACUUCUUCUUCUUCUUCUUCUUCCUCUUCUUCUUAAGGACGACUCCCAGUAUUAUCGUACUGCCCAGUAUUGUGCGUACCUACCCGACUUAUUCUCAGACUCCGCCUACUCACACUCGUGUGCACGCAGUUAUGAUUUAUGGUCAUCGUAAAGUAACCCCAGCGGUGCCCUCGACGGUAAGGCCCCGCUGGGACCAUUGCGGUAAAAUAUAAAAAAAAAAUAAAAAAUAAAAAAUAAAAACAGAAAAAACCGAAAAAAGCAACGACGUUGAAAAAAUUGCUUUGUAUUUUCCUCGGUAACUUCCAUGAGAUGUAUAGUACCGCAAUACCGAGGUCAUCGAGGAGAGUUUUGAAGCAUGGUGUUUUUAAAAAAGAGCAAAAAAAAAAAAAAAUUCGUGUUUUAUUAUAUAAUUUGUUACGGGAGUGAGAUUUCCACGUGCCGUGCACAUAUUUUAUCGUUUGCGAAAAUAUCGUAAAGCUGAGAUAUUUUUGUCCGAAUUUUUUCCGCGCGCUUAACGAGAAGAAUUUUCAGCUUAUGCUAAAUGACCGCUGAAUUCAAGUUGCGCGUAUGUUACGCACGAUUCACAACCCGUCCGGAUCGUGGGCCUGCCGCAACCGAUCGGGCAAAUCUUUCGAACGUGUAUUGUAUGGGAAGUUGGCGUGCUCCCAUGGGAUUUUAUGUGGAUCGUGUUUUGGUUGUUCGCGUCGAGACGGAUCGCCCGAGGCGUUGGUCCCACGCAGAGGUGCCCUUAUACUCGGCGAGAACCUCGAGGAUCCCCGAAGAUAUCGUUGAGAUAAAUCCCGAAUAUCUUCGAUCGGAUCGACGCGCGUCGUCGCUCGUCGAACGAUCAUUCAUACCGCGAUGUUCGGCGAAAAAAAAAAGUCUCACCUAUAUCUCGAUUCGCUUUUUAGCGGUAUUCGGUGUUUUUUUACUGGAUACAAGCGAUGAUCGGGGUAACAAGAAUUACGAAUUGCGAUCGAAAUUUCGGAGCUGCGCGAGCGAACGCAACGCAUUUCGCGAAGGGGAAUCGAUAGCGUGGGGGAUCGCCAUGCGUUCGAAUUCGAAGGAUUAUUAAUUCGUCGGGAGAAUUUCGACGGCGACCUUUGACCCGGGCGUUAUGACGCCGAGGCCCAGGUUGAUUCCUGAAAUACUUGCGCGCGCGCCCUGUAAUCUUUGCUUCUUCCCUCUGAAUCCCCUGUGCUGAAAAAAAAAAGAAGAAGAAAAAGAACGAGAAGAAGGAGAAAAAAAAAACAAAAACAAAAACAAAAACAAAAAUAAAAGCAAAGAAACGAAAAGAGAAUGAGAAGAAAAAAAAAAAAAAAAAGUGGAAGAAACGAGAAGAGGAGAGGAGAACCUCGCGAGCAGAUAUCUAUAAUUUAAAUCUCUCCGGCGUAUAAGUGGCAGGAAAUCAUUGUAAUUAAUAUCCUAUAUCUAUAUAACAAUAUGUACUGAUACUGCAGCGAGUCGUUAGACGUCGGAAUAUAUGUUAUGCGAUGUACCUGCCAUAUAGGUUAUAUACAUUUUAUCGUUAUAUACCGGCGUGUAAUAUACUCUACUCGUCGGUGAAUUGGCGAUCUCACGAACCCGGUGCACAUAUAAGAGUCUGCCGGGUAUACCGUAUAGGCUUCUCGAUCACUGUGAGAAAUGAAACGAUAGAAAGACCACCGGUGAAACGAUAUUAGGCCGAGUGAUUCGCCUCCCCUGCAGCGAGUGGAACUCUUUAUAAUCCUCUUCUUUUGAAUUCGAGUCGAAACUCCUUCCAAUAUCGUAUCGUUACCGAGCCAUUAAAGGGGCUAACGAAUCUGGAAAUCACGCUACGACCCUUUUUCCAUCUUCUCAGAAACCAGAACCCCUCUUGAUAAGGACAUUGAUUAUCGUCCGAGACACGUGAAAAUUAAAUAUAAAAUUAUAUCACGCCUAUUUGUCUCUUUACCGUUUUUACCCAUUAUAUACAUACAUAUUGGGAAUUGAUUUCGUUCGUACUCGUAACGCGGUACGAUAUUGCUACGCGCAGUAUCUACAGUACACUACAUCUUAACGGUUAUUUUACCGCCGCAAAUCUCCGCCCUUCCAAUUAUUUCCUCUCGAAAGAUCUCGAUUAUUCGAUAAAUUACACCGAUACACAGGUAUACAAUAAAUGCUACGUGCGCCCUGGAUCUGUUCUGGAUGUUGGUUAAUUAAACGCACGAUUUUAUACCUAUGCACCCACUAAUUACAUGUACGCUUCAGACUGUCAUUCGUACGUCGAGCCAUAUAGAUUCUAACGUCGAAUCACCUCGUCGCGCGCACGGAAUUCAGAACGAAAAAUAUACGAUCUGGGUAAGUGACGAGUUAACGGCAAAUCAUGUUACCGUAGAUUCGACGAUAUCGUCUGAAAUAUUUGCAUGCUUAAAUACCUCGAGGAAUAAUCUUCGAGAAAUCUAGAUCACGUAAUCAUAACUUUGCACGAUCGUUUCCUCAAAAUCGGGGUCAACGCGGAAAACGCCGAAGAGAUUCGUCGAGCGAUAGAAAUAAAUUUCGUCAAGACGAGUCGAUUUUCGCAGGCUUACAAUGAAUCGCCCUAGUGAAGGACCUAUCUGGUAUUUUUUUCUCGCCGAUGUACGAGCGAGAGAAAAAAAAAGGCCCAUAAGACGCGGCGAAGAUCGUUGCUGUAAUUAUUGACGAUUAAAAGGAUCGCGCGUACUUAGGAGAAGGUAUACUGCGGAAUCGUGCUCAGCGUUCGCUAAGGAAAACGCAAGCGAGGAAUUCCUUUGGCUAAUUAAGCGCUGUCAGUGAGGAGCAAGGAAGACUAUCAAAAGCGCGUUAAACCACCUUACUCACCCCUCACAGCCCCCCCGACAGUUUUCUCUCUCGAUGCAUCGCGUAACGAAAUACAAUUAUCUUUAGAAAAACGAACUGUGCGCAGCGCAGUGCGGUGCAGAAUUUCAUUUCGUUAUGUUCGCAAAAACUGAUCGUUCCAACCAAAUUGGCGGAAGGUGAUCUUCGAGCGCCGCGGGUACGGUAUAACGUCGCGAAAAAAGAAUAAUGAAAAUUCAAUAAAACUUGGUCAUAUUUUCUCUUCGGUGACUUUUUUUUUUUAACUCAUAUUCGUCGCGGUAUUAUCGUUGGAAAAAAUUUUAUUGCUCUGUACGGAGAGACCCGAUGAAAUAAUCGCCCCAAUUCGACCCGUUCCAUGUGAUUUCAAUCCCCUGUGGAUAUAUGUAUAACCAGAAAAAUUAAGGCGUCGAUUCUGCAUGUGGUCGGGGAUCGUCCGUAGAGCAAAUUUUUGGGACCUAGUUACCUCGACCCGGGGCCCGCGUACCUUUUCGGUCGGGGGAGGGGGGGGAGGCUGGUGUGAGAGUUGGUUUGGUGAAGGAUUUUCGGGUGGGCACAGCGAGAGAGGAAGAGAGACGGUCGGAUAAAUUCUCGAGCUUUGAGGCCUCGGGGCCUUGGAGGUUCCCAAGAGGGUCAAAGGUCGCGGGACCCACCUCCGUUCGUACGCCCCUCCUUGUGUACCCCAUGACCGCGCAACGUCUUGGGCCAGUUUUCUUCCAUCUUUUGACCACGCCAUCCGUGCCGAGCGAAGGACACGUGUAUACUUACCUGUAAAAACGCAUGUGUAAACGCCUUUAUAUUCACCUUCGUGAAAUGCCGACGAUUCCAGGAUCGGUUAACGUCGAUAUAUCCUUAUGCAUGCUAGACCGCCAUGCGAAAGAUAAAAGAAUCGAACAAUUGUUGACUCAACUCCCAAAUUUGUUCGAAAUUUUUCUAUCUUGCGUGAGAAAAUUGUCCCCGCGAAUGAUUGAAGCAGGAGAAAAUUGAAAAUUUCACUCCCUAGUUUUCUCGUCCCUAAAAAUUUUUCAAAUUUCUGUCACACAAUUGAGAGGAAACGUCUGUCCCAACAAUUUCGAAAAAUUGGACUAAAAAAGAGGUCAAAUUCCUCAGGGAGUAAUAUGACCUCGGUGUGACCAUAAUCGUAAAAGAUUUUCAUUACUUUCUUAUCCCCAGAUCAUUCAUACCGCGCGUUUCAUGCGUGUGUAAGAAAUUUAGCGAUAAAAACUGAUCUAUUUGAAGGCAUGAACGAAAAUAAAAAGCUCGAAAACUUGCGGAAUAGAUUUCCGUAUACGAUGACAAAGUACCCGGACUCCUUUAAAGUCGCCAAUCAGAUGAACACCCAGGCCAAUAUGGAGCGGUCGGUAUCCCUAGAAGCCUGCAAAGCACAUUCCGAAGGAUUCUCCAUUACAUUCCUAUGGGUUACAGUAACCGCACAUCUGCCUCUGCAUCGAUAGCUUCUUUUGAACGCUUUUUUUUUUUUUUUUUUUUUUUUCAUUCUAGGUGGACUUCACCUCGACAAUUUUUCUCGACUUGUUCGAACGUAGACAGAGGUGCGUUACGAUCUGGAAGACUAUCAACGAUUACCGAACGUCUAUUGCAAAAAACUAAAAAUGUCCCGUCGGAGUUUGAGUGAUUUCCAAAAUAACAGUCGAAAGACGUUGUAGGGGUGCUACUUGUGUCCCGACCCUUUUCCCUCGGACUAAAUUGUACCUUCGGUAAUUCAACAAUCGCCCUUCGAGUAGCUCUCGCCACCCUUAUUGGUGGUGAGAUAUUUACGCGGGAAAGUUACAACCAAUCAGAGAUCAACGUUCCACUCCUCCGCAAUCUCCUAGUAGAGACAGACUCGCGUGUUUCGACGGAGAUCAGACACUCACGAAGCUUAGUUUAGUCCCGACUCUACCUCUGGGUAAACCUCUACCCCGUAAAAAUUUAUCGAAAAAAUAAAAUAACAGAGUUUCUUUUUUUUUUUUUAUUUUUCAAAGUACAACGAGUUGCUCCGGAAAUCAUCCAACAAACAAAGUGCAUUUCGAUACUCCAUUCUUCCAUUCUUCGAACGUGAAACGAGUAAGAGUGUCGGGGGGAUUGUACUUCGCCCCGUUCAAAAAAAUGAUGGAUAACAUUUUCAAAAGAAAGUUUGAACAAGUGCGAAUUGUACUGUAAUUAUAUUACGAAGACUCGAUGUUGCUCAUGGGAUAAUUUUUUCUUCUUCUUCUUCUUCAUCCCCAUCGUGUGAACGUUUAUUAUACUAAGGGAAGUGUAUUUCGAAAUUAGAAACCAUGCGCAGUGAAUCGCUUCGAUGAAAAUCUACGAGUCGGACGAGUUUUACGGGGGUGAAGUUUUCAUUUCGUCAAUUUGAAGAGGAGACAUUCCUGGGGGAGCGAAGCCGAUUUCCGGGCUCCCGAAACGGAAGCUGGACUUUUAUCGGGAACCCAACCGAAUCGAUCGCAGACUCAAGACCACGAGAGAUUACCUUACAAG